CUUUCCUAGGGAGGCAGCAGUAGGGAAUCUUCCGCAAUGGGCGAAAGCCUGAUGGAGCAACGCCGCGUGGGUGAAGAAGGUCUUCGGAUCGUAAAACCCUGUUGUUAGAGAAGGAAGUGCGUGAGAGUAACUGUUCACGUUUCGACGGUAUCUAACCAGAAAGCCACGGCUAACUACGUGCCAGCAGCCGCGGUAAUACGUAGGUGGCAAGCGUUAUCCGGAUUUAUUGGGCGUAAAGAGAACGCAGGCGGUCUUUUAAGUCUGAUGUGAAAGCCUUCGGCUUAACCGGAGUAG
rnacentral:rRNA from 1 species